GCCUAAGCGUCCGUAGCCUGAUCUAUAAGUUUCCGGUUAAAUCCACAUGCUCAACAUUUGGGCUGCCGGAAAAACUGUAGAUCUAGGGAGUGGGAGAGGUAGACGGUAUUCGGUAGGAAGGGGUAAAAUCCUUUGAUCUAUUGAGGACCACCUGUGGCGAAGGCGGUCUACCAGAACACGUUCGACGGUGAGGGAUGAAAGCUGGGGGAGCAAACCGGAUUAGAUACCCGGGUAGUCCCAGCCGUAAACGAUGCAGACUCGGUGAUGCGCUGGCUUGUGGCCAGUGCAGUGCCGCAGGGAAGCCGUUAAGUUUGCCGCCUGGGAAGUACGUACGCAAGUAUGAAACUUAAAGGAAUUGGCGGGGGAGCACCACAAGGGGUGAAGCCUGCGGUUCAAUUGGAGUCAACGCCAGAAAUCUUACCCGAAGAGACAGCAGAAUGAAGGUCAAGCUGGAGACUUUACCAGACAAGCUGAGAAGUGGUGCAUGGCCGUCGCCAGCUCGUGCCGUGAGAUGUCCUGUUAAGUCAGGUAACGAGCGAGAUCCCUGCCUCUAGUUGCCACCAUUACUCUCAGGAGUAGUGGGGCGAAUUAGCGGGACCGCCGCAGUUAAUGCGGAGGAAGGAAGGGGCCACGGCAGGUCAGUAUGCC
rnacentral:rRNA from 1 species